GCUGGGUUUAAUCUGGAACAGAUCAGUCAUCAAACAUCGAUCUACAUGAUUUCCUGUAACUGAGACGGUUCACCCCCUGCGGUUAUGCAGUUAUGCAAUCUCUGCUAGCUGGCAUAAUGUUUCCAAAAGCAAUCAAGGUUACUUAUACUAGAAAGGGCUAAACGAAACAAAACAGGGUCUAAAAUAAAUGGCGGGGGCACGGCUGCAAUGUACUAUGCUGCAUGCAGGGGCACCAGCAAGGCGGUUGGGCCUGCUGCAAGGCACUGUAGCUAUUCAGCCCAUCAAGGGAGUGCCAACGUAAGUGUUGCUGCUAUGGUUCAGCCAAUUCUAGCGUUUUUUCUUUUCCAGUUCUUUCUUCUUUUCUGUCGCAAAAAUAUUUCUUAAGAACAUAUUUAUUCAUCGAUUCAUGAAUCAAAUAAUUUAUCUUGAAAAUGUAGAUGAUGAGUCAUUCAAUUUUAUUUUCGCACUAUGGUGUUAUACCUAUGUACGUACAAUUUGCCUAUAUAUGACAUACCAUACUGUUGACAUGUA